ACUCCUACGGGAGGCAGCAGUGGGGAAUAUUGGACAAUGGGCGAAAGCCUGAUGCAGCCAUGCCGCGUGUGUGAAGAAGGUCUUCGGAUUAAAGCACUUUAAGUUGGGAGGAAGGGCAGUAAGUUAAUACCUUGCUGUUUUGACGUUACCAACAGAAUAAGCACCGGCUAACUUCGUGCCAGCAGCCGCGGUAAUACGAAGGGGUGCAAGCGUUAAUCGGAAUUACUGGGCGUAAAGCGCGCGUAGGUGGUUCAGCAAGUUGGAUGUGAAAUCCCCGGGGCUCAACCUGGGAACUGCAUCCAAAACUACUGAGCUAGAGUACGGUAGAGGGUGGUGGAAUUUCCUGUGUAGCGGUAGAAAUGCGUAGAUAUAGGAAGGAACACCAGUGGCGAAGGCGACCACUGGACUGAUACUGACACUGA
rnacentral:rRNA from 1 species